rnacentral:rRNA from 1 species
AGUGGCAGACGGGUGAGUAACGCGUGGGAACAUACCCUUUCCUGCGGAAUAGCUCCGGGAAACUGGAAUUAAUACCGCAUACGCCCUACGGGGGAAAGAUUUAUCGGGGAAGGAUUGGCCCGCGUUGGAUUAGCUAGUUGGUGGGGUAAAGGCCUACCAAGGCGACGAUCCAUAGCUGGUCUGAGAGGAUGAUCAGCCACAUUGGGACUGAGACACGGCCCAAACUCCUACGGGAGGCAGCAGUGGGGAAUAUUGGACAAUGGGCGCAAGCCUGAUCCAGCCAUGCCGCGUGAGUGAUGAAGGCCUUAGGGUUGUAAAGCUCUUUCACCGGAGAAGAUAAUGACGGUAUCCGGAGAAGAAGCCCCGGCUAACUUCGUGCCAGCAGCCGCGGUAAUACGAAGGGGGCUAGCGUUGUUCGGAAUUACUGGGCGUAAAGCGCACGUAGGCGGAUAUUUAAGUCAGGGGUGAAAUCCCAGAGCUCAACUCUGGAACUGCCUUUGAUACUGGGUAUCUUGAGUAUGGAAGAGGUAAGUGGAAUUCCGAGUGUAGAGGUGAAAUUCGUAGAUAUUCGGAGGAACACCAGUGGCGAA